UACAGAGGGUGCAAGCGUUAAUCGGAAUUACUGGGCGUAAAGCGUGCGUAGACGGUUAUGUAAGUCAGGUGUGAAAGCCCCGGGCUCAACCUGGGAAUUGCAUUUGAGACUGCAUAGCUAGGGUGCGGAAGAGGGAAGCGGAAUUUCCGGUGUAGCGGUGAAAUGCGUAGAUAUCGGAAGGAACACCAGUGGCGAAGGCGGGUCUCUGGGCCAAAACUGACGCUGAGGAGCGAAAGCGUGGGGAGCGAACAGG
rnacentral:rRNA from 1 species